rnacentral:lncRNA from 1 species
GAUUCACUGUCUCUCCCUCUGCACACAUCUUGGGCAAGCACAUGCCCAACUUCCUGCUUUUCCUGACUUGACUGUUUAAGAAGGUGGUGGGCCAGAGAGGAUAUCAUCACUCCACAUUCCAGACGGUUGUGAGACGCCCAGUGUGGGCCGAAUGCCUGACGAAGCCAGAAGAGGACAUACAGAUUCUUUGGAGCUGGAGUCACGGGCAGAUCUGAGUCUGCCCUGGAGGCCUGACUCCCAGUGCUGCAGCUGUCUCUAGCAAGGUGGCACUUCCUCAGUGAGUAAACAUACUUGUGGAUUUAUAAUUUGAUGAAUUCGUGGGAGUGGGUGGGAACUUUAGGAGGAGGGCCCUCAUUGGAGGAAGAAGGUCACUGAGUGUGUGUCUUUGAAGGACCUGUCUUGUCUCCACCUCCUUUCCUGCUCUCUACUUCUGGGUCACUGUGAGCCGAAGAGCUUUUGCUCACAUGUUCUCUGUUACGAUGCUCUGCUUCUCCUGGGUCCGAAGCCAGCUGCGGAUGGGCUGAACAUGGGUCAAAUUAAAUAUUUCCUUCUGGAAGCGAACUUUUCAGAGUUUUUGUCAGAUGGUGGAAAAGAGCAAACAUGUUCUGUCUCUCCCUGUCCCUCUUCCUCUCUAUCUCU